CAAUCACUUGUCUCUUAAAUGGAGACCUGUAUGAAUGGCACGACGAGGGCUUAACUGUCUCCUUCUCCCAGUCAAUGAAAUUGAUCUCCCCGUGCAGAAGCGGGGAUGACUUCAUAAGACGAGAAGACCCUAUGGAGCUUUAGACAAAAGGCAGACCACAUUUAACACCCCCUCCCUACGGGGAAAAACACAGUGUCCCCUGGCCUAAAUGUCUUUGGUUGGGGCGACCGCGGGGGAAAACCAAGCCCCCAUGUGGACUGGGGAGACUUUCCCUAAAAUCACGAGCCACAGCUCUAAACAACAGAACUUCUGACCAAAAAUGAUCCGGUAAAUACCGAUCAACGGACCAAGUUACCCUAGGGAUAACAGCGCAAUCCCCUCCCAGAGUCCC
rnacentral:rRNA from 1 species